rnacentral:rRNA from 1 species
GACGAACGCUGGCGGCGUGCUUAACACAUGCAAGUCGAACGGAAAGGCCCUGCUUUUGUGGGGUGCUCGAGUGGCGAACGGGUGAGUAACACGUGAGUAACCUGCCCUUGACUUUGGGAUAACUUCAGGAAACUGGGGCUAAUACCGGAUAGGAGCUCCUGCUGCAUGGUGGUGGUUGGAAAGUUUCGGCGGUUGGGGAUGGACUCGCGGCUUAUCAGCUUGUUGGUGGGGUAGUGGCUUACCAAGGCUUUGACGGGUAGCCGGCCUGAGAGGGUGACCGGCCACAUUGGGACUGAGAUACGGCCCAGACUCCUACGGGAGGCAGCAGUGGGGAAUAUUGCAGAAUGGGCGGAAGCCUGAUGCAGCAACGCCGCGUGCGGGAUGACGGCCUUCGGGUUGUAAACCGCUUUCGCAUGUGACGAAGCGUGAGUGACGGUAAUGGGUAAAGAAGCACCGGCUAACUACGUG